rnacentral:tRNA from 1 species
ACUAUCGAUAGCUCAAUUGGUGGAGCUGAGGACUGUAGAUCCUUAGGUCGCUGGUUCGAUUCCAGCUCGAAGGA